rnacentral:rRNA from 1 species
UACGAAGGGUGCAAGCGUUACUCGGAAUUACUGGGCGUAAAGCGUGCGUAGGUGGUUUGUUAAGUCUGAUGUGAAAGCCCUGGGCUCAACCUGGGAACGGCAUUGGAAACUGGCUUACUAGAGUGCGGUAGAGGGGUGUGGAAUUCCCGGUGUGGCAGUGAAAUGCGUAGAUAUCAGGAGGAACACCGGUGGCGAAGGCGGCUUUCUGGACAGAUACCGACGCUGAGGCACGAAAGCUAGGGGAGCAAACAGG